rnacentral:snRNA from 1 species
AAUUUUUUAAUUAAUUUAAUAAUAUAAGUUGGAACAUAGAGAUAAGAGUAUCAUGGUCUCUGCUCAAGGAUGACAUGCACAAUUCAAGAAAUGGUUCAAAUUUUU